CGGGCUGCCCCGAAUCCCACCGCCCUUGUGUUUUCUUUUCUAUGCAAGUACUGAGGUCCGGAAGCUCCAAGGUUUGGACUCCGUGGCUGGAUUUUUAUGAGGCGCUUCGGGGCUCCAACUCUGAGAGAGUUCUCCUCCGGUGUAUUGUUUCCUACAGCGGCGGUCUGGUCCUAUGUCGUUCUCUGUUGGUGCUCUUCGUAGCAUGCGGUGGUGUUGCAGCUGCUGACAGCUACUGUUUGGUUCUUCUUCUAUCGUCGUCAAUGUUGCCGGUGGCUUGGAUGCAACGUGGAGAUCGAAAACUCCUUCUCUUGCGGUGGAGUGGUGUUGCGGCGCCUUGUUUUCUUACGUGAUCAUUGUAGAGUUUAGGACCCAAAGAGUGGAGCUUGUAGUGGGUGGUGACGGUUGCAUCGGAAGCCUUUUUUGUUAUCAUUCAAAUCGUAGACGCCGCCAGUGUCGUCCAACUUGAGAUCAGGACUUUUGUGUUUUUUUGUUGUUGUUUUUUACUUCCUGGGGUGCGACAAAAGCUGGUGUUCUUUGUCCUGUGAGGAGCUGCAGGGCGGCAUCUUCCUUCCUUUUUGGUGGUCAGUGUGCAGCUCCAAGGUUUGGCGGCAAAUCUUGGAAGUGUUCCCUUGGUCGAGCGUGUUGCUGUGGCUGCACUACAAUCAAGCUUCUUUUUUAAUUUUCUCUCUGCCUAAGUGCUACAAUGAACGACUCAACGUCAUUGUUUGAUUAUUGAGCGCUGUGUGUGGUGCUGCUGGGCGUGCAUUUAACUAGAGAGGCAAUAGCAGAGGCAUCAAUUUUGCGAUGUGUUCUCUCCCAUUGUUCUCCUGAUCUUAAUCAUUUUUGUGACGUCUUGGCCAAGCCGUUGAGUCACUCGUGCGCAUUUGCUUAUAUCACAUGGGCGUUGCCAUUCUGAGGAUAGACAAGUCUUGUUUUUGUAAACAAAGUUUUGGGCGUUGAGGGCGCUGCAAAUGGGUUGGCGUUGAAGGUGGCGCACAAUUCUGGAUCUUCAUAGCUGCCUCUAACCAUGUAAUUGAUAUAUACCAGUGCAUCAAAUUAUUACAUUAGGACUAGCAAGGUGUAUUUGCUGGUAAUCAUCAAUUUUGUGCUAGGAACAACAUUUUUUUUUCAAGUAGAUGCGAUGGAGCAAUAGCUUCGCAAAUGGACAACUGAAUUGCGGAAAGGGACAUAGCACCAUUACAGCAUGGAAUUUUGGUCAGUAGAUGAACAACUACACAACAUUGCACUGGAUGAAGCGGCAAUUUAGUUGCAAAGGUUAAUCUUGUAUGAUUGGUCAAUGUCCUGCUGUGGAAUCGGUCAACUGAGGCGAAGGAAAUUGGAUCAAAAAUCGCAUAGGUCAUAGUUGAGGCAUAUUGUGCAUGCCCACAGUCAUAACUGAACUAGGUGGUAGAUCAGAAAUUCAAAAGGCAGUCUGACUGCCAUAGCCUCUAAGGAGCAUUUAGUAUUAUUACUAGAAUUUGUAGGUGGCAUCACCAUUCAAGGAAUCAAGUGAAGAAAAUUGCAUGGAGGUUGGACUAAGACCUUGUUCCAAUUUUUUCUUGACGGAUUCUUUGAUUUGCACAACUUGCUAGUUUUAAAUUAACGACGCAAAUUAGAGCUGAAGCAGCGAAUUAGGCAGUUGUAGCGGAUCGAAAGUGUGAUCAGGGGAUAGAUUGACCAAGCGGCAGAGUUGCGGAAGUGCCACAAGCGAUCUUUUGAAUUGGGGUCACUCUAGCGGAGGCUGGAGAAGUCAUUGCUUCUGAGGCAGGGGAGCUCUUCGCAGGAGGAAGUCGCAUGCAACACCCUCAAUCUCCUUCGUAAGAAUUCAAGCAGGAUCAGUUAGGCUGAUGAAUUAGUGUCGGAUGAACCAUAGUAGACAUAAAUGAACUAGGGUUAGGAUUGAAUUAGGUUCGUUGGAUGAAUUUGAUCAAGAAUGAAUUUUGAAAAUAUGGAUGAAAUAUGUAGAUGAAGUGCUAUUUAAGGAU